CCUGUGCGGGUGCCAGAGCAGGGGCACAGGCUGCCCAGAGAGGCUGUGGGGUCCCUUCCCUGGAGACAUUCACCCCCCGCCUGGACGCGGCCCUGUGCCCCUGCUCUGGGGGUGCCUGCUCAGGCAGGGGGUGGGACGGGGUGAGCUCCAGAGGGCCCUUCCGACCCCCACCAGUCUGGGAUUCUGUAUCACAGGACCUAUUUGACAGGGUUUGCUGGAGCUGCCAUCAAUACUUCAAAGCAGUCUUUAAAAUUCAAAGUAGUCAUCCCAUUGUCAAGUGAUUAAGUGAAUAUAUUUUAAAGUAAUUAAUUGCUGCUUAAUUGCCAUACAGGUUGCUAUCCUGUAUAAAAAAAAAUUCCUGGAAAUUUUAAUUGCUGUAAUAAGCUAAUGAAUUUUUUUAAGUAUUUGUGUUAAGACUGAACAAUCCUAAGGUAUCUGCACAGCUUAUGCCUAGUUUGCAAAUCUCAAAGAGGUGCUCAUAAAUUUUUUAAAAGCGUGAGCUGGCGCUGUUUCAGUAAAAGAACUGAAUCAAAUGAAAAUCCUGAAAUGCGUUUUUGGGAAGCUUAAUUAAAAUAACUGCUGAUAUGAAGUGCUAUGGGAUAAGACCUGUACAUAACAAAAAAAAAAAAAAAAAAAAAAUUAGAAGUUUGUAAAACAAGUUUUUCCUUCAAAGCAGUCGCCUCUGAAAAACGAGGCUGGCCCAUCAAACUUCUGAUAGAACUUUAAACCAUUUUGCUGUGAAUGGCACUGUAUAUAUUUUGGCUAGGGAAAAUAUUUUAUCGUUCUUUGGCUUCUGCGUGCCACCUAUGGAAUGCAAAAAUCAUAUACCUGCUGUAAAACAAAUUGUGGGACGGGCCAGGUGUCCAGGAGCGAGGCUGGUUUCCAUAAGCGAGUGAUCAAACAGCUCCGAGUCUGCUUGAGAUGCCGCCAGUGACGCCGGUCGAAAAGGUCUCACCGCUUGUAGCUUUCCUGUGUCUGGCUGGGCUAUUUACAUCCUGCCUACGCUUCCGAACGGUGCCUGUGCGAGCAGGUGCUCAGGGGGCGCAGCUAAUGGUGUUCAGGGUGUAUAGCCCUAUUCUAUCCCUAAGGCCGAUUAUUGUACGAGAGUCAAUAUUAGACGGUUUGUGCCAUGGUGUAGGAAUUCUGGUGUGAUUUUAGUCUCGGCUGUCGCUACAGCUGUGAUGACUUGCUCUCACUGCCGCAGGCGGCGUCGCCAAAGCAGCGCCGCGCGCUUAGCUGAAGCUGGCAGGCAUCUGUGCUGAUCAUACCAUCUGCACCGCUUCUGCUGGCCGGCCAUCGGUGUCUCCGUUUGGUGGCUCCAACCCUGAAAAUAUGUUACUGAAUAUUUUUGGCUCUGUUAGUCAUCCUGUAAAAACUCAAAAAAAGCCUGUUCCAUGGUAUGGCAACAAACCAAUUCGCCAAACUUCUCCGGAAGCCAGGUACCGCAUCCCGGGGGGAAGGAGAGGCUGCUGCCAUCUGGGCAGCUUCUGGAUCAAGGACGCCGUGCCUCGUGCCGUGCAAGAAUGCGCAGCUAAGGGCUGUGUGAGUCUCCAAAUCGGUGCUUCAUUUGAGGGAGUAACGCAUCCUCUGGGCACUGCACUUUGAAGAACAUCACCAGCUCAGCUCUCGGCUAUUUCCAUGGUGAAAUCACGACUCCACUCUGAAGUCCAGUCCUGCAUUACUUUCAUCAAUCUAGUGUUUUAUACCAGCUACCCUCAUUUGUGUGAAUUCGGAUAGAUUCAAGAAAUCUUCCUGUCUCCCCUGCCAAGUGCGUUCGCAGAACGAAGCCGACUUGGCAAAACGAAACGGAUGUCUCCCAUGCAACUGGAAGUCCAGAAGCCUCAUCCGCAGCCGCUUUGGGGAUGCAUCCAGGCGUACAACGAGAGCAGCAGCGAGAAUCCGACAGCUCUGCGCGCUUCCGAAAGCAGCAGCUACCGGCGAUUUUAUAAAUGGAAACCAGCAUUUCAACGUCGCGGCCUCAAGCUGCUUUGAAGAGAAGCGGUGCCCAUGCUCGCCUCUCCUGGAAUGACGGGGCCACGGUGCCUGGGGGGUUUCUAACACCCAUCACAGAGAUGGAGAUGGUCCUUGUCCGGUGAGAGCUGCCUGGCGGGGGUGCAGGAGGAGGCAUCUGGUUUGACUGUGCCAAACUCCCAGCUGAAAAUAAGUGCUUUUAUGGCCACUUUACCUGGGUUGUUGAGCGGUGUCAGCCUCCCAUGGAGUCAGUGGACUUUGAAUGUUCUCAGCGCUUCCUGGGUAUAUCCAGCAUGCACGGUCAGACACUGCAACUCUAAACUCAAUGGAAAACAAGUGACUGAUGCAAAGCCACUUCUAUGGACUCUGCUCUGGUUUUUAUAGCUCUCGUGUAGAACAAGUGGGUUUAACCCAGUUGCCCUGUGGUUGUUCCCUUUCCCUGCAUAUAAAGCCAAAGAAAAAUCGUGUUAUACUUUUACUUAAAAGAUUUUUACUUGCGGAUUCAAAUAUAUGCAACUAUUGUUGGCAGGCUUUGUUUAGUUUAGGUUUGUUGGUUGGCAUGUUUAAUUUUGAAUUUGUUAGUCCUUAGGACUUUGUGAAGCCUGCUUUGGUUUCCUGGUGUGUUUUGUGGGAUAGCGAUACACAAAGUGCCUCGAUAUCUGUUGUGAUUAAUGCUCUGGAGGAACUUGUUAAUGGUCAUGGAACCACUGCGUGUUUGAAGGUUGUGACACAGCAGUUAGUUUUCCCCGACUUCCCAUGCCCCAGCAGGCACAGGAUUUAGACUUGCAGAUGCUCCGUAAGAAACGAUCUCCUUAUGAGGAGUCCCAGACUUGGCCCGUAGAGCCGGGACGUUGUGAUGGUGGGGAUAAGCUUAAAUAACCUCUCUGGCCACAGCCAGCUUAUCUAAAUGAAAACCCAAGUGACAAAUGCUUUGGAAUCUUUCCCAUCACUACUGCAAAAGCCCAUAUUCAAAAAAGAAAAUGAAAUGUUUCAGUUUUCAAUUUAAAGAGAGUGCAGGUAUUUCGGCUCCAAAAAAAAUUAGAUGGUAGAUUAUUAAAAGAACGUUUCGGUGUCCAAAAAUGACAUAUUGCAAAAUUCCACAAUUUAUUCAAAGUAAACAAAACAAAUCGAGCCCUUUCUGGUGGAAAACGGUGGAAAUAUCAGCGAAGAUGUUAAUUCUCGGGUCGCCGUUUUCUCGGGAGAGGCUCACCGUGUUAUUUUCCCACCGCAAGCCUACAGCAGCAGCACAGGGGAGGGCUGAAAGCCGGGCUAAGGCUGUUUCGGGAGACGACCGAACUCUGCGAUUUCGCACGCCGCCGCCCGCUUUGGCGACGUGUAACCCUCGAUCCGACGGCCGCGGGAGCUGCUGCGAGCUCUGACAGACACCAGCGUACCCCGCAGGCUCGGCAGCGGCUGCCGGCCGGGCUAGCUGCCCCAAACCUCCCCUGCGAGGCGGGAGGCAGCGCCGCUGCGGCAUCGGCGGAAGGUGCCGGCGCGUGGUGGCGAGGCCGCCCUGGGCGCGCACAGGUCGCCCGAGGAAAAUAAUCGCAAGGGUAUAUUUUUAAUGGGGAUCAAAGUUGUGUUCUUUUCAGACUUGUCUGGGGCAUAAGUUGGAAAUCAAACGCCCGACAAGUUUGUUACAUCCCUGCUGAAGGUCUCCAGGCUUAACUUAGUCAACGUUCUGAAUUACUUUUCCUAUUAAAUGAAUUCUUUCUUAAAACAUAGGGGGAAAAACUUGCCACUGAUAAGAUUGUUCUGUGAACCGUUCCUAACGAGCUGCUGUGCCAUUCCCUCAUGCUUUCGAUUUAUCUUGUUUAGAUCGCUUCCGUUUAAAGUAUUCCAGUCUUUUACUGCCCAUUAAGAGUUUGUUUUGUUUUAACUGGGAGCUUCAAAUAAAUUUUACAAGCUGCUAGAAAGCAAAAUAUUUUAUUUAUUUAAAUUGGCUUUUAUUCAGGUGAGUGGAUAUACAAAUAACUUUAACCUCUUAUCUCUUUCUGUAAUGUUUGUAAUACAAAUUUCAUUUUCGAUACACGUUCUUUGUUGGCUCCCCAAAGCCUUUCUUGCCCCAUACUUGAAGUCCAGAGGGGUUUUGGAGGCCUGGCUGCUGUAGGAGCACUCGUGGGUCUGGCUGCAAGGUAAGACUUCAGUCUUUAAAUCUGCAAUACUCUUCGCUGGAUGAAAUAACCCGCAGCGUCAGAGAAUCCCCUGGGUUUUGAGCAGACAGUUCACUUCAGUGUAGCAAUGACCUAACAUAAUAAUUUUGCUAAUUGGUUUUGUGCUGUUGAUCCAUUAUCCGUUUUUAUUUCCUAUUUAAAUCUGGCCAUGGUAAAAAUC